CAGUAGCCGCGGGAAUACGGAGGGAGCUAGCGUUGUUCGGAAUUACUGGGCGUAAAGCGCGCGUAGGCGGUUACUCAAGUCAGAGGUGAAAGCCCGGGGCUCAACCCCGGAACUGCCUUUGAAACUAGGUGACUAGAAUCUUGGAGAGGUCAGUGGAAUUCCGAGUGUAGAGGUGAAAUUCGUAGAUAUUCGGAAGAACACCAGUGGCGAAGGCGACUGACUGGACAAGUAUUGACGCUGAGGCACGAAAGCGUGGGGAGCAAACAGGAUUAGAUACCCCAGUAGUCCCUGUCUCUUAUAC
rnacentral:rRNA from 1 species